UACGUAGGGUGCAAGCGUUAAUCGGAAUUACUGGGCGUAAAGCGUGCGCAGGCGGUUGUGCAAGACAGAUGUGAAAUCCCCGAGCUCAACUUGGGAACUGCAUUUGUGACUGCACGGCUAGAGUGUGUCAGAGGGGGGGUAGAAUUCCACGUGUAGCAGUGAAAUGCGUAGAUAUGUGGAGGAAUACCGAUGGCGAAGGCAGCCCCCUGGGAUAACACUGACGCUCAUGCACGAAAGCGUGGGGAGCAAACAGG
rnacentral:rRNA from 1 species